rfam:Zootermopsis nevadensis contig8689, whole genome shotgun sequence.
GCCACGGUGGUCUAGCGGUUAGAACGCUGGCCUUGUAAUCCUGGGGUCUCGGGUUUGAUUCCCGGCGGUGCCC